rnacentral:rRNA from 1 species
GAUGAACGCUAGCGAUAGGCUUAACACAUGCAAGUCGAGGGGCAGCAUGGUCUUAGCUUGCUAAGACUGAUGGCGACCGGCGCAUGGGUGCGUAACGCGUAUGCAACUUGCCUCACAGAGGGGGAUAACCCGUCGAAAGACGGACUAAUACCGCGUACACUUGGGAUAGGGCAUCCUGACCCAAGGAAAUGAAAUUCGCUGUGAGAUAGGCAUGCGUCCCAUUAGCUAGUUGGUGAGGUAACGGCUCACCAAGGCGACGAUGGGUAGGGGAACUGAGAGGUUGAACCCCCACACUGGUACUGAGACACGGACCAGACUCCUACGGGAGGCAGCAGUGAGGAAUAUUGGUCAAUGGGCGAGAGCCUGAACCAGCCAAGUCGCGUGAAGGAUGACUGUCUUAUGGAUUGUAAACUUCUUUUAUACGGGAAUAACAAGAGCCACGUGUGGCUCCCUGCAUGUACCGUAUGAAUAAGCAUCGGCUAACUCCGUG